GAAUAUAGUUCAGUGGUAGACUACUUGCCUAGCAUGUAUGAGGCCUUGGGUUCAAUCCCUAGUACCA
rnacentral:tRNA from 1 species